rnacentral:rRNA from 1 species
AGUAACACGUAGGAACUGCCUUUCGGUUCGGGAUAACGUCUGGAAACGGACGCUAACACCGGAUACGUCCUUCGGGAGAAAGUUACGCCGAGAGAGGGGCCCGCGUCCGAUUAGGUAGUUGGUGGGGUAAUGGCCUACCAAGCCGACGAUCGGUAGCUGGUCUGAGAGGAUGAUCAGCCACACUGGGACUGAGACACGGUCCAGACUCCUACGGGAGGCAGUUUUGGGGAAUAUUGGACAAUGGGGGCAACCCUGAUCCAGCAAUGCCGUGUGAGUGAUGAAGGCCUUCGGGUUGUAAAGCUCUUUCGCACGCGAUGAUUAUGACGGUAGCGUGAGAAGAAGCCCCGGCUAACUUCGUGCCAGCAGCCGCGGUAAUACGAAGGGGGCU